ensembl:lncRNA
CACCCAAGUCUCUCCCAGCAUCCACACCUCUCCUUUCCGCUCCUCCACCAUCCGCCUUCUCUCUCUACCUUUCACGGCUAAGCUGCUGCCAAAAGACCUCGACUCCUCGUCAGCCAUCCAGUCAUCGCCUCGUCUCUCACCGGCUCCUCGAAAGACUCCCCAAAUCUCGUCGCCGUCCCGUCCUAGCAAGAGGCCAGGGCACGCCCUUCGGUUCCUUCGCCUUCCUAAACUCUCUGUGGUGUCUGAGGAAUGCUGCCCACGCCUUCAGUCUCUGCAAGUUCUCUCCACCCUCUUUCUCUGGGGGAUGGCCCCCUCCCCAGGUGCCCUUCCUAACCUCAGACCCCUCUGUCUCCCUUUCCUCUGCGGCUUCUCCUCCCGACCACUUCUCCAAGGGUUCUGUUCUCGAAGGCAAGGCACGGUCUUCAGGGAACAGGAACCCCUCGGGUCUCAGAGCAAGCUCAUGCGCUCUCCUACGAUUCGACUCGCCCCCCGGAUGCCCAGGGCUUCUGAGUGCGUACGACUGACGUCACCCUGCCCCUGACUCCACGCUGCUUUCUCUAACUGUCUGCUGGACGCACCUCUCGGGAUGUCCAAAGGCUUCUCAAAACCGACACGUCCAAAAGGGAGCCCGAACAACAGGAAGACGGCAGAUCAGAGAGCAGCUUGAUGGCAGCCCCCCCGGACCCCGCCCGAGCGGACAUCGUGCAGAGGCUUGGACCAGCCGAAAUGACGGAUCGCCCACUUUCCGCGUCACGGACAGAGAUCCUCGGCGUGCAACGCGUCGAACCCCACUGACCUCGCACUUGUGGACCCACGAAGAAAUACGAGUGACAGUCGCACCUGAGCAGAGGACUCUUCAAGCUUCACCCCCAGCGCUCUCCUGGUCCCACCCCUACCCCAACCCCAGAUAAACGCCCCCAAUGUUUGAUUUUCCCUUUUGAGAAGCGAGGUUGAGUUUGACGCCCACCUCCUUGUCUGGCCGCCUCUUGAUCAUAAACCUCUUUCCUUGCUGCAACCCUGACUUCUCACUGAUUGGCUUGGCUGCGAAAUCGGGUACCCGGACCUGAGUUUGUGUGUGGUCCCAUCGCUUCCCUGCUUGAAGGAAUCCAGGGUUCUCCACUGCCUGCAGGCCAAACUGGAGCAGAAUCUCAAGGCCUCGCCCCUGCAGCCUUCCUCCCUGCUCCUCACCCACACGCGGGCCACCCUCCGCCACGUGCGACUCUCUGCAGACCCCAAACAGGUUCUGACUCAAAGGACUUCAAGCUCAUCGAGCGAGCCUAAUCCUAGCAGGCGCCCGCCGGAAGAGCACGGCAGCAGGACCAAAGCAACACGGAGAAGCAGCUGCUGCCAAAGCCAAAGGGAGGAAGAGGAUCCGGAGAACCCUUUUUCCUUUCACUGGCGCCGGCGCCUGCAUCCUGCUCCCGAUUCCAAAUUUCACGCGGUCAACAACUGGCACCGCUCCUUCCUCCUCGCCCUGGGCUGGAGGCAGCACCGCCUCCCGCUUCCCUGAAGGCCCAAGGGAAACGCACGCACCGAGGGGAUCCCACCGGCUGGAAGCCCCUUUACAGAUUUCCGCUGUCUGCACUUGGACCUCAAGGGUCUGCGCGGCGCGCCCUGCCCCACGACCCCCCGUCACUCCUUAAUCCCCCCCCCCGCCCCGCUGGAGCCCAAGGCUGAGAAUCCGGUCC